AGCACACCCCCGUCGCCCUACCCCCAACUACCUCCCCCUCCUUCUCCGAUACUACGGCGGCGGCGGCUUUCGGUCUGCACCGGCGACUACGGAAUGGAAGAUGCAGGGUUGGAGUUUUUGCUCGGUGCCGUCGACAGGUUCCCCACUUCGGUAGGAGUUCGCUGACAGCCUUGAGCACCCAGAUCCGGCUCCUUGGGCCCUGUUGCCGGCUAGGCAAGCCAGCCCUGCCGUCCCGGCGGACUGAAACGCUGGGUCUGGGUGCGGGCAACAAGUUGGCUGCGGUGCCCGGAGAUACCACAGGGAGGGUGGGGGGUUACUCCGGCGUCUGGAUGCAUCCCCGACUAGGUCUUCCCUGUCAACCGAGGCCCCGGGAUGGACAAAGAGGUUGCCCCUCGGCAGUGCACCACCCAACCGGACGCCAUGUCCCUCUAGGCUGGGUGCACUAGGGCAGUCGAUUCACAAGUACGCAGAGGAACCUACAAAAAGUGUAAUAAGACCUGAACUUGGCCUAAGUUUCAGUUCAUUAGGCGAGGCUAUAUGACUUCUACAAUCUGUAUUCUUGAGAAAUCGGUUUCGGAAUUAGGUAUGGCAAGAUCAGACUGAACGCCAGGAGGACAAAGUUUAAUGCAGAGAUCCUUUGCGGGUGCUCUAUGCGCUCCGAUUUUUGCAACCAUCCCAAUUUGCCAUUUGUGUAGGUUGGUUGCCCUCAGUUUGAACCCCUCAAUUUCUAAAAUCUGAUUGACUGCAUGUCAUAAACGCGAGGAACUGUUUAAUCAUCAAGAAAUGCUUUGGAGUAUGGAGAACUGGAGUAACACGAGUCGACUUGCGAUUAACUGUGGUACCCAUGACUUAUCAUUUCUGUUUUGUGAAACGGGACUAUGAAUUGGAACUAGGAGUUAGUAUUAAAAAAGAAAAAACAUGGAGGAUCAAAAUUGCAGUAUGAUGCAAAUCAACUAUUUCUUCAAUGGCAAUUCCUUGCUGUAAUUUCUUCCUACUUCCUACACAAGUAAAAUUAGUAGUGAAGGACUGUAGGCAUGUCAUAUUUGUUGUAAAAAAAAGAUUCUUCCUGCAGCAGAUACUCCAUGCCAUUGAUCAUAGGCAUGUCAUAUCAGUUUUGCUAUAACAUUUUUUAAGGUGGAUCACCGUGUUUCAAAAUCUUAGAUCCGCCACUGGUCAAUGGUUAGUGCAUGGAGCACGACUGAUCCGCCGGCGCAAGGAGGGGAAGACUAGUAUAGGAUCUCACAUUAGGUGAGAGCAAUGAGAUGGACACCCCUGCACAAGGAGGCCAAGGGGGAGGUGAUAUAACAGGGAUUCCGUCUGCUAUGAUCUUCAAGCAGGAGCUGGAUGACAAGAUAGAAGAUGCAUCCCUGGAAGAAGGUUUCAGUGAGCAUGAUCCAAGCACCGGAGUGUUGGCUGACGAAGAUGAUGGCGACUCGGAUGUGCACAACGGAUCUGACAUAAUGUAUGCUAUCGAGGAAGUUGAAUCCGACGAGGAAAAUUAUGUUAGCAGCAGAGGAGCAACGCGACGGCGUACGCAAGUGUAGGUUUGCUAGAUUUGCAGGAAUUCGAUUUGCGGAGCAGCACAGGGCGUCCAAUGUUCGUCCUAGUCUGCUAGUUAGGCAGAGCACUCUUCUUUCAGUUCUUUGUGGUGUCCGUCCUGAUGCAAGCAAGAAGUUGAGAGUGCGUUAAAAAGUGUGAUGCCAGUGUGUAUGUGAUGCUUUCCGAUUGUCAACUUGAGUUCCUUAUGUAUUUAAGGUUUAAAGGUUUUUCUGA